GUUUUAAAAUAUUUCUUUCAGCUUAUAGCGAUUUAUAGGGAACAGCUUGGAAACGAUUUUGUGUCAGUGACAAUAAUAUCUUUAAGUGCUGGAAGUAUCAUAGCUGAUUACGAAGUGAAAGUGGCCAACAAACCUAAUGCAGCAAGUAACUUGAACAAGGCGAAUAUUGAUCUGGUUAGUGGUAAAGAAAAAAUUACAGUGUUGAAUCAAACUGUGUCGGCAGAUUCUGUCCGAACUGGAAACAUUACAGUGACGCAAUCUGACGUUAAUGAUACAUUAAAACUGUGCCAGUUGUUUAUAUCAACCACGGGGGAAUGCCGAGAUGGAUAUGCAUGUUCCGUUGUUAAUGGUUAUGCUACAUGCGUGGAAAAGGAAACGAAAAGUAAGCAACCUUUUGAACACACC